GGGCCCGUAGCUUAGCCAGGACAGAGUGCCGGCCUCCGGAGCCGGUGGUCGGGGGUUCGAAUCCCCCCGGGCCCG
rnacentral:tRNA from 3 species